GAGGACACGCAGAGGAGCAGCUGGCUUGCCCGGAGUCCUCCGACCUUGACCCAAGAAUGCAGGGCCCACCCCGCAGCCUCCCCGCUGGGCUCAGCCUGGACGACUUCAUCCCUGGCCACCUCCAGUCCCACAUAGGGUCUUCCUCCCCGGGGACACGGGUGCCCGUGAUCCGGAAUGGUGGCUCCAACACCCUUAAUUUCCAGUUCCACGACCCCGCGCCCAGGACUGUGUGCAAUGGGGGCUACACAAGACGAGAUGCUUCGCAGCACCCGGACCCUGCGUGGUAUCAGACCUGGCCAGGCCCUGGGAGCAAGCCCUCUGCAAGCACAAAGAUCCCUGCCUCCCAGCACACCCAGAACUGGUCAGCCACGUGGACCAAGGACAGCAAGCGUCGGGACAAGCGCUGGGUCAAGUACGAGGGAAUCGGGCCCGUGGAUGAGAGCGGCAUGCCCAUUGCCCCCCGAUCCAGUGUUGACAGACCCAGAGACUGGUACCGGAGAAUGUUCCAGCAGAUUCACCGGAAAAUGCCAGACCUGCAGCUGGACUGGACCUUCGAGGAGCCACCCAGAGGUGAGGGGAUGCGGGCCCACCUGCCUGCCAUAGCCCUGCGCCUGCGUCCGUCCCUCCCUGGGGCUGGGACUUGCAGCCCCGCCUGGCUUUGGGGCUCUCCAGUUGGCUCAGUUCAACCUAAGAGGUUUUUAUAGCUCAUUUCCAGAGCACUUCAAAUCCCCCGGUAGGUGGUAAUUAACAGCCUCAGCUUGCACUGGGAAUGCGCGCUCUGCCACUCCCUGGCCGGGAUUUCUCUGGGCCUCCCUUUCCUCAUCUAUAAGAUGAGAUCACCACCUACUCGGAGUUGUUUUGAAGAUUUAGUAAACGUCGUAAAGCU
rnacentral:sRNA from 1 species